UUUUACAUGUGUAUCCCAACCUUCGCCUCUGGGGUUGACACGUGCACACUUCAAGAUUUAUUUUACCAAAUUCUAAUCCGCCAAGCACGUGCGAGCACUGUUCCUUUUAACGCAUAUGAAUCUCGGGUUGGAUUUGAUCCAGCAUUCCUUGGGAGUUUGGUUACUCAGUAUUGGAGGUAUGCUUGGUGGGGUGAUAAGCCAAAACCUCUCUAUUACACCCUCUCAACUUGAUGUUCAGAGUACUCGGCCAAAACCUCUUGGCCAAACCCUCUCGACAAGCCCAUCUCGGAUUAUAUUAGGGAUGACACUUGCCCUCUAACUUCAAACCUAUAAGACAAAAGGGCUUGAAGAAAUUGUAAUAGAUCCCUUUCUAAAAAUAUCAUCAAUUUUUGAAUUA